GCAUCUGAGGGCAGUUUGGCUGGAACUGCAACCCUGUCCAUCCCUAGAGCUGAUGCUGUCUAUUUACCUGACUAGGCCAAGGUUCCUUUUUUUCUCUCACCACUUCAUGGGCAUCUCUCUUGAAACUGCACACUUAGUGAUGGAAGUUGGUGUUCUCUGAACUAUUUCUUAGUCAAAGAUACAAGAGUAGCUAUACUCCCAUUCCAGAACCUUCAAACAAGCUCUCGAGAGUAAGAACUGGACCCAACAUGGUGACACAGGCCUCUAAUUCCAGCACUCAGGAGAAAGGCAGACAGAUUUCUAGAAUAAGGCUAGCCUUGUCUA
rnacentral:snRNA from 1 species